rnacentral:rRNA from 1 species
UGCAAGUCGAACGAAACUUUCUUACACCGAAUGCUUGCAUUCAUCGUAAGAAGUUGAGUGGCGGACGGGUGAGUAACACGUGGGUAACCUGCCUAAAAGAAGGGGAUAACACUUGGAAACAGGUGCUAAUACCGUAUAUCUCUAAGGAUCGCAUGAUCCUUAGAUGAAAGAUGGUUCUGCUAUCGCUUUUAGAUGGACCCGCGGCGUAUUAACUAGUUGGUGGGGUAACGGCCUACCAAGGUGAUGAUACGUAGCCGAACUGAGAGGUUGAUCGGCCACAUUGGGACUGAGACACGGCCCAAACUCCUACGGGAGGCAGCAGUAGGGAAUCUUCCGCAAUGGACGAAAGUCUGACGGAGCAACGCCGCGUGAGUGAAGAAGGCUUUCGGGUCGUAAAACUCUGUUGUUGGAGAAGAAUGGUCGGCAGAGUAACUGUUGUCGGCGUGACGGUAUCCAACCAGAAAGCCACGGCUAACUAC